GACGAACGCUGGCGGCGUGCUUAACACAUGCAGGUCGAACGAAGCGCUUAAACGGAUUUCUUCGGAAUGAAGUUUUUGCGACUGAGUGGCGGACGGGUGAGUAACGCGUGGGUACCCGCCUCAUACAGGGGGAUAACAGUUAGAAAUGACUGCUAAUACCGCAUAAGCGCACAGUGCUGCAUGGCACAGUGUGAAAAACUCCGGUGGUACGAGAUGGACCCGCGCCUGAUUAGCUGGUUGGUGAGGUAACGGCCCACCAAGGCGACGAUCAGUAGCCGACCUGAGAGGGUGAUCGGCCACAUUGGGACUGAGACACGGCCCAA
rnacentral:rRNA from 1 species